UUCUGCCUCUGUUAGAGGCUAUGUAUAAGUUAUGAUUGAUAUUUGCAUAUGUUUAUACGAAUAAAAUGUACACAAUUGAUGUUCUGAGUACAUUACGUUUUACCUGCUGAUGUUAUGUUAAUUCCCGUGCGCAGACUUUUAUUAUGACAUGGUUCUGUGAGCAGGGCACGUUGGGAAACGGGAAGUAGCGAUCGCAAGGCGCAGCGAGCUCUCUACAAGCGUUAUAUUGUAUCUGAUAAUCCUUCUUCCAAACCCUGUCGGAAGCAAUGGCUUUUACUCAGUUCAAUGGCUAUACGCCCUUUUCACAUGACGUCACGUAUCUUCCGUUCUGCCGCUAAGCACUACAGUUCAUAAGUUGGCGGUAAUGCACCUAUAAGCUGAUUUGCCAACCGCCAGUAAAACUCAAGAAGUUACUUCCGCUAGCGUCUCAGAAUGGAGUUUACCAAGUGGCUUGCACAUCUGCCACAAAUACGUCUAGAUGAUGUACAACGUCUUGCAGACAAAUUUUUGCUAAGGACAAGAUCAAAGCUAGAGAAAGGAUACAAAUUCUUCAUUGAACAGUACCUGUUUGAUUAUGAAGCGCGACGGCAAAACGGAAGUUCUUCUUCUGCUUCUUCUUCUUGUUUGUUUCAAGACGGAUGUUAUGAUACACUGCUUUGCAAAAAGGCGGAAGUUAAGUGACGUCAUUGUGAAAAGGGGUGUAUUGAGUUUGUCUAUGUAAACUAUACAUUGGAUCAUUAAAGGAGCAAGACGCUCAUAUCCUGGCUCUUGUACAGAGUUUGGCUUGCUGUUUAUUUAUAUUACACGCUCAAAGAAGCAAAACAUAUAAAGAGAACAGUACACCCUCUGUAUUUUGUUGCUUCCCCUGAGCUGGAAUGUAAAGUUUGUCAUAAUUUUCAGUCUUAUAUGCUGUGAAAAAUGAAUCGUAUGAACAGGUCAGGCCACCGGCACAGACGAGGAGGGAAACACAUCAUACAAUCACAAUUGUGCAUGUAAAAUGGCAGGUACUAGAAACAUUUGGUUUAAUCUGAAGCAAUAAAACUGAUGUCAACAUGCAGAAAUACAAAAAUGUAAAAAAAAGAGAAACUCGUGUCAACGUGCAGAAAUGAAUAUGUUGAAAUGUUAAGGACGCCUAAUUUUCAUAGUAAAAUGAUUCAGUGAAGCACAUUCAUGAUGUGUCUUUCAUCUUCUGUGUGAUAUACUGUAGACCCUGACAUGUAAACUAAGGUUAAUAGUCGGACUCUUCGGGGGGCUGGAACAAGAACAGAUGAAGAUGUGUACAGUAGCUCAACACGAGAUCCCACAGCUGUCCAGUUUGAGGAGAAGGAAAAGGAAUCCUGGGAAACUGACGGUCAGAUCUGGCUCUGUGUAACGCAGGCUGAUCAGCUGCAGUAUGAAAUCGUCCACCUUUAUGCCUAGACCAG